rnacentral:rRNA from 1 species
UACGUAGGUGGCAAGCGUUGUCCGGAAUUAUUGGGCGUAAAGCGCGCGCAGGCGGUCCUUUAAGUCUGAUGUGAAAGCCCCGAGCUUAACUUGGGAAUGGCACUGGAAACUGGCGGGCUGGAGUGCGGCAGAGGGGGGUGGAAUUCCACGUGUAGCAGUGAAAUGCGUAGAGAUGUGGAGGAACACCGAUGGCGAAGGCAGCCCCCUGGGCCGACACUGACGCUCAGGCACGAAAGCGUGGGGAGCAAACAGG